rnacentral:tRNA from 1 species
GGUGCUGUGGCUUAGUGGGUUAAGCCUCUGCCUGCAGUGCCAGCAUCCCAUAUGGGCAUGGGAUCGAGUCCCAGCUGCUCCA